rnacentral:tRNA from 2 species
GUGGAUAUAGUUCAAUUGGUAGAGCGCCAGAUUGUGGUUCUGGUUGUUGCGGGUUCAAGUCCCGUUAUCCACC